UUUGGCACCUCGAUGUCGGCUCAUCACAUCCUGGGGCUGGUGCAGGUCCCAAGGGGUUGGCUGUUCGCCAAUUAAAGCGGUACGUGAGCUGGGUUUAGAACGUCGUGAGACAGUUCGGUCCCUAUCUUUCGUGGGCGCAGGAUAUUUGAGAGGAUCUGUCCCUAGUACGAGAGGACCGGGAUGGACGAACCUCUGGUGGUCCAGUUGUCGCGCCAGCGGCAUAGCUGGGUAGCUACGUUCGGAAAGGAUAACCGCUGAAAGCAUCUAAGCGGGAAGCCCACCUCAAGAUUAGAUAUCCCUUCGGCAUGGAAACAUGCCGAACUGAAGACCCCUUGAAGACUACAAGGUUGAUAGGCCAGGUGUGUAAGCCCAGUAAUGGGUUAAGCUAACUGGUACUAAUCGGUCGUGCGGCUUGACCACAA
rnacentral:rRNA from 1 species